UACGUAGGGUGCAAGCGUUGUCCGGAAUUAUUGGGCGUAAAGAGCUCGUAGGCGGCUUGUCACGUCGACUGUGAAAACCCGGGGCUCAACUCCGGGCCUGCAGUCGAUACGGGCUGGCUUGAGUGCGGUAGGGGAGACUGGAAUUCCUGGUGUAGCGGUGAAAUGCGCAGAUAUCAGGAGGAACACCGGUGGCGAAGGCAGCUCGCUGGGACGGUACUGACGCUGAGGCGCGAAAGCGUGGGGAGCGAACAGG
rnacentral:rRNA from 1 species